rnacentral:rRNA from 1 species
UGGGGAAUAUUGCACAAUGGGCGCAAGCCUGAUGCAGCCAUGCCGCGUGUAUGAAGAAGGCCUUCGGGUUGUAAAGUACUUUCAGCGGGGAGGAAGGGAGUAAAGUUAAUACCUUUGCUCAUUGACGUUACCCGCAGAAGAAGCACCGGCUAACUCCGUGCCAGCAGCCGCGGUAAUACGGAGGGUGCAAGCGUUAAUCGGAAUUACUGGGCGUAAAGCGCACGCAGGCGGUUUGUUAAGUCAGAUGUGAAAUCCCCGGGCUCAACCUGGGAACUGCAUCUGAUACUGGCAAGCUUGAGUCUCGUAGAGGGGAGUAGAAUUCCAGGUGUAGCGGUAAAAUGCGUAGAGAUCUGGAGGAAUACCGGUGGCGAAGGCGGCCCCCUGGACGAAGACUGACGCUCAGGUGCGAAAGCGUGGGGAGCAAACAGG